GAUGAACGCUAGCUACAGGCUUAACACAUGCAAGUCGCGGGGCAGCAUGGGGGUUGCUUGCAAUCCCCGAUGGCGACCGGCGCACGGGUGAGUAACGCGUAUCCAACCUGCCCUUCACCACGGGAUAACCCGGCGAAAGUCGGACUAAUACCGUAUGUUGUCCAUUGACGGCACCCGAUUUGGACGAAAGGUUUGGCGGUGAAGGAUGGGGAUGCGUUCGAUUAGCUGGACGGCGGGGUGACGGCCCACCGUGGCGACGAUCGGUAGGGGUUCGGAGAGGAAGGUCCCCCACACUGGAACUGAGACACGGUCCAGACUCCUACGGGAGGCAGCAGUGAGGAAUAUUGGGCAAUGGGCGUAAGCCUGAACCAGCCAAGUAGCGUGCAGGAGGACGGCCCUAUGGGUUGUAAACUGCUUUUAUGCGGGGAUAAAGUGGCCCACGUGUGGGUUUUUGCAGGUACCGCAUGAAUAAGGACCGGCUAAUUCCGUG
rnacentral:rRNA from 1 species